GAUGAACGCUGGCGGCGUGCCUAAUACAUGCAAGUCGAGCGAAUGGAUUAAGAGCUUGCUCUUAUGAAGUUAGCGGCGGACGGGUGAGUAACACGUGGGUAACCUGCCCAUAAGACUGGGAUAACUCCGGGAAACCGGGGCUAAUACCGGAUAACAUUUUGAACCGCAUGGUUCGAAAUUGAAAGGCGGCUUCGGCUGUCACUUAUGGAUGGCCCCGCGUCGCAUUAGCUAGUUGGUGAGGUAACGGCUCUCCAAGGCAACGAUGCGUAGCCGACCUGAGAGGGUGAUCGGCCACACUGGGACUGAGACACGGCCCAGGCUCCUACGGGAGGCAGCAGUAGGGAAUCUUCCGCAAUGGACGAAAGUCUGACGGAGCAACGCCGCGUGAGUGAUGAAGGCUUUCGGGUCGUAAAACUCUGUUGUUAGGGAAGAACAAGUGCUAGUUGAAUAAGCUGGCACCUUGACGGUACCUAACCAGAAAGCCACGGCUAACUACGUGCCAGCCGCCGCAGUAA
rnacentral:rRNA from 1 species